CUUAAGGUAGCCAAAUGCCUC
rnacentral:siRNA from 1 species